rnacentral:misc_RNA from 1 species
CCUGUUACUGUCGAUUACUACGAAAAUUAUACUAAAAAAAAAGGUAAAUGGUAGCUGCUCGAAUUGUUUUUUCUUUGUUUUUUUGCCGACGUCCAAUAAAAAGCAACACCUCUUGAACAUUGCACCGAUGGCAUGUACAAGUAUUCUAUUCGUCUAGUUCUUGAUCUCUAAUCCACUUUGUAGCCACCCAUUUCUCGCCUUUGAUUACCGGACAGCUCCCGUGCAGUGAUGUUGGAUCGAUUGUAUUAUUUGGGAAAAGCGAAUAGAAUAAGAGUCCAUCCCCUUGGCGUGGUUUCACUUGCAAACCAAUACACUUUUGAAAGUCAUAAUUUUCAUCAAUCUCCAAGCCAUUCCUUUGGCUCUUCUGUGGGCCAUACUCUG